rnacentral:lncRNA from 1 species
ACCUGCCAAGGAUGGUACCUCAAUCUGAUCUGAAGAUGGACCAGUGGAAGAUGGCGGCGACGACACAUGUGAGUGCGUCGGACCGGUUUGUACCCCAGACCCGGUAUGUGGCUCGGUCAGGGUCUCCGGCUUUAGAUGUUAGGCUUAGGUGAGAGGUCUGGGUAUUUGGUCCAACUUGCACCCCUUCAUCAUGUGGAUAGGAGUAGCGGCAGAUGUUGCCAAGAUGGCUGAUUCAGG